UCCCGUUUAGCUCAGUUGGUAGAGCGCAUCACUUGUAAUGAUGAGGUCAGUCGUUCGAGUCGGCUAAUGGGAA